rnacentral:rRNA from 1 species
UGUUUAUCAAAAACAUGUCUUUUUGAAAUUUAAUAUAAAGUCUGACCUGCCCACUGAUUUAUUAAAGGGCCGCGGUAUUUUGACUGUGCAAAGGUAGCAUAAUCAUUUGUCUUUUAAUUGAAGGCUAGAAUGAAUGGUUGAAUGAAGUAUUAACUGUCUCAAUUUAAAAAUAAUAAAAAUUUAAUUUUUUAGUCAAAAAGCUAAAAUAUUGUUAAAAGACGAGAAGACCCUAUAGAUCUUUAUAAUUAUAAUUAAAAUAUAUUUAUAGAAUAAAAUAUAUUAUUUUGAUUAAAAUUAUUUUGUUGGGGUGACAGAAAAAUUUAAUAAACUAUUUUUAAAAUAAAACCAAUAAUUUUUGAAAAAUUGAUCCAAUAAUAUUGAUUAAAAGUUUAAGUUACCUUAGGGAUAACAGCGUAAUUUUUUUAGAGAGUUCUUAUCGAUAAAAAAGAUUGCGACCUCGAUGUUGAAUUAAAGGUUAUUUCUAGAUGCAGAAGUUUAGAGUUUAGGUCUGUUCGACCUUUGAAUCUUUCAUGAUCUGAGUUCAAACCG